rnacentral:rRNA from 1 species
GUGAAACCGCGAAUGGCUCAUUAAAUCACACCUAAUCUACUGGAUAGUUAACAGUUACUUGGAUAACUGCGGUAAUUCUGGAGCUAAUACAUGCACAAAGCCCCGAACGUAAGUGAGGGGCGCUUUUAUUAGAUCAAAACCAAACGGCUUCGGCUGUUCUCCUGGUGACUCUGAAUAACUUUGGGCUGAUCGCAUAGCCUAGCGCUGGCGACAUAUCCUUCGAAGGUGUGCCCUAUCAACUGUCGACUGUGGCAUAGACGCCCACAGUGGUUUUGACGGGUAACGGGGAAUCAGGGUUCGAUUCCGGAGAGGGAGCCUUAAAAACGGCUACCACAUCUAAGGAAGGCAGCAGGCACGCAAAUUACCCAAUGGCCGAAGGCCGAGGUAGUGACGAAAAAUAACGAUACAGGACUCAUCUGAGGCCCUGUAAUCGGAAUGAGUACACUUUAAAACCGUCCCCGAGGAUCUAUUGGAGGGCAAGUCUGGUGCCAGCAGCCGCGGUAAUUCCAGCUCCAAUAGCGUAUAUUAAAGUUGUUGUGGUUAAAAAGCUCGUAGUUGGAUCUCGGCGGUCUGAGAGCGGUUCACUUGCUAGUGCUACUGCCCUAUAGACCGUAGUUUUGCCAGAGGUCUCAGGGUGCUCUUAAUCGAGUGUCUUGUGAUGCUGGCAGGUUUACUUUGAAAAAAUUAGAGUGCUCAAAGCAGGCUUUUACGCCUGAAUAUUCGUGCAUGGAAUAAUAGAAUAGGAAGUCGUUUCUAUUUUGUUGGUUUUCGGAAAUCGACUUAAUGAUUAAUAGGGACAGUCGGGGGCAUUUGUAUUCAAACGACAGAGGUGAAAUUCUUGGACCGUUUGAAGACAAACUACUGCGAAAGCAUUUGCCAAGAAUGUUUUCAUUAAUCAAGAACGAAAG